rnacentral:rRNA from 1 species
UAGAGACUCAGAGCUGCAUAUCAAUAAGCGGAGGAAAAGAAACUAACAAGGAUUCCCUUAGUAACGGCGAGUGAAGCGGGAAGAGCUCAAAUUUGAAAUCUUCAAGGUUCUACCUUGACGAAUUGUAGUUUAAAGAAGUGUUUUCUGUUAGAUGAGUAGGCAAAAGUUCCUUGGAAUAGGACAUCAUAGAGGGGUGAGAAUCCCGUAUUUGGUUAUUCAUUCUAGCUUUGUGAUACACUUUCAAAGAGUCGGAUUGUUUGGGAAUGCAGUCCAAAAUGGGUGGUAAAUUUCAUCUAAAGCUAAAUAUUGGCGAGAGACCGAUAGCGAACAAGUACCGUGAGGGAAAGAUGAAAAGAACUUUGAAAAGAGAGUUAAACAGUACGUGAAAUUGUCAAAAGGGAAGCGUUUGACACCAGUGUUGUUUUUCCGAAAAUCAAUUAUAAAUGUUUUGUUUCUGAGGAGUGAUGACUUCAUCGGCUUCCUUCUCUCUUCACGAAACUUUUGUAAUGCACUUUUCGGUUAACAAGUCAACAUCAAUUUCUUUUGUUGUAAAAGAGUAUUCGGAAGGUGGCUUUCUUUUCGGAGAAAGUGUUUAUAGCCCUAUACUUCUACAAUCGGAGAGAUUGAGGUCUGCAGCGUAGAUCCUUCGGGGUUAGAUACACUUGUGCUAAGUUAUAGCUUUUCAUAGACAACUUGUUGACUAUGUUUAGUCUUGUAGCUUACUCGCUUGUGCUAUUUUACCUACGCUUAGGAUGUUGAAGUCAUCGUAUCGCGC